rnacentral:rRNA from 1 species
AUUGAACGCUGGCGGCAGGCCUAACACAUGCAAGUCGCACGAGUGGCGGACGGGUGAGUAAUGUGUGGGAAACUGCCUGAUGGAGGGGGAUAACUACUGGAAACGGUAGCUAAUCCCGCAUACUAUCAGAUGUGCCACGAUGGGAUUAGCUUGGUGGUGGGGUAACGGCUCACCAAGGCGACGCUCCCGAGCUGGUCUGAGAGGAUGACCAGCCACACUGGAACUGAGACACGGUCCAGACUCCUACGGGAGGCAGCAGUGGGGAAGAUGGCACAAUGGGCGCAAGCCUGAUGCAGCCAUGCCGCGUGUAUGAAGAAGGCCUUCGGGUUGUAAAGUACUUUCAGCGGGGAGGCGUUACCCGCAGAAGAAGCACCGGCUAACUCCGUGCCAGCAGCCGCGGUAAGAC